UGAAUACGAGAUGCUACGGCGUCGAAGCAGUCUAUGUCAUACUUCCAAGAAAAGCUUGCACUGUCAUAAACAAAUAAUGCCUGUACCAUAACCGACACAGGUGGGUAGGUAGAGUAUACUAAGGGGCGCGAGAUAACUCUCUCUAAGGAACUCGGCAAAAUGACUCCGUAACUUCGGGAGAAGGAGUGCCUUAUUUAUAAGGUUGCGAUAACAAGAUCCAAGCAACUGUUUACCAAAAACACAGGUCUCCGCUAAGUCGUAAGACGAUGUAUGGGGGCUGACGCCUGCCCAGUGCCAGAAGGUUAAAGAAGUUGGUUAGCAUCCGCGAAGCUGAUAACUGAAGCCCUGGUGAACGGCGGCCGUAACUAUAACGGUCCUAAGGUAGCGAAAUUCCUUGUCGGGUAAGUUCCGACCCGCACGAAAGGCGUAAUGAUUUGGAUACUGUCUCGGAGAGGGGCUCGGUGAAAUAGACUUGUCUGUGAAGAUGCGGACUACCUGCACCAGGACAGAAAGACCCUAUGAAGCUUUACUGUAACCUGAAAUUGAAAUUGGACUUUACUUGCGCAGUAUAGGUGGGAGGCGUUGAGAAUAUUCUUGCGGGAUUAUUGGAGCCAUCAGUGAGAUACCACUCUUGUAAUGUUAGAUUUCUAACUUUGUAUCAUUAUCUGGUCAAAGAACAGUUUCAGGCGGGCAGUUUGACUGGGGCGGUCGCCUCCUAAACGGUAACGGAGGCGCACAAAGGUUUCCUCUGAACGGGUAGAAAUCGUAUCUAGAGUGUAAAGGCAUAAGGAAGCUUGACUGUGAGACCUACAAGUCGAGCAGGGACGAAAGUCGGUCUUAGUGAUCUGACGGUGCUGAGUGGAAAGGCCGUCACUCAACGGAUAAAAGUUACUCUAGGAUAACAGGCUGAUCUCCCCCAAGAGUUCACAUCGACGGGGAGGUUUGGCACCUCGAUGUCGGCUCAUCGCAUCCUGGGGCGGUAGUACGUCCCAAGGGUUGGGCUGUUCGCCCAUGAAAGCGGUACGCGAGCUGGGUUCAGAACGUCGUGAGACAGUUCGGUCCAUAUCCGGUGUAGGCGUUAGAAUAUUGAGAGGAGCCUUCUUUAGUACGAGAGGACCGAGAAGGACAUACCUCUGGUGUACCAGUUAUCGUGCCAACGGUAAACGCUGGGUAGCUAUGUGUGGAGUGGAUAACCGCUGAAAGCAUCUAAGUGGGAAGCCCACCUCAAGAUAAG
rnacentral:rRNA from 1 species